UUCCCACCCCCGCCGGCAAAGCCAGGCCUCCCACUCCUCUGCCCCUGGGGAGCCUGGCGAAGCGCUCCCUCCUGGCUCCCUGCGCCUCGCCUCCCCUCCCCCUCCUCGGAGGCGGCCCCCCACUUCCUCUCCCCCCACCCCGGGGACAGCGCGAACAGCCUCGCGCCCCCGCCUCAGACGUCCCGACCCCAGGACGGGCUCCGGGAGCCGCUUCUGGCGGCCUCGGCGGGAGGGGGCGUCUCACCCCGGCUCCGGCCGCCGCCGCUCGGAAACUCUUCCCCUCGCCCCUGCCUUCCCCGCCCCAGCCCGGCCCCGCCUCCCCACGGGGAAACAUCCCAAAAAAGGGCAGAAAAGGAAUUUCGGCGUAAAGUUGGCCCACAAGAGAAGAGAGAAGAGUCCGCUGGGAGAAGGGGAGGAGAAGGCGGGGCGCGGGGCAAGAGGGAGGGGAGAAGCGGGGGAGGGGCGUGGAGGGAGCCUGGCGGGGGCCGGGAGGGGGCGGGGGCGCGCGGUGCGCAGCCGCCUGGAGCCGCGUGGAAACUAUGCGGGCGCGUGGGGGCGGGGCGGCGGCCCGAGCUGGGCCCCGAGGCCGGGCGACCAGAAGAGGGGCCCUGGCUCCAGGGGCAGGGGCUGGAAGAGGAAGCGAGGGGAAGUGAGGUCAGGCACGCCCUCGCUCCGCACUGCGACCGGGGCCUUGGGCUCCCUUCCUGCCUCAGUUUCCCCAAGUCACUGGUGAGACUGCGUUAUCACUACCACGUCAAUAACUCAAACCCAGAGUCUGGGACUCAGGGGAAACUGAGGCACUCGAACCGCGAAGGAGCCCCGCCUCCGAAGAGACAUUUAAUCCGGGGGGAUUUACAGGAAACUUCUAAAUUAAGGGCAGCGGCUGCUGCAGCUGAGGGGGGGCACGCCGGUCCCUUCUCGCGGGCAGCUGCCGUGAGCUCACGCCCCGAAAUAGCCCCAGGGGCCCCAGCCACAGCUGCCAUGGGGCCAGGCUGUCACUCAGAGGAAGCCCGGAGCCCCCCGUCCGAGGGACCCCUCCCCGCCGCAGCGCUAGUGUUUUUUCAGCGGACUGCCCCGGCCACUUUCCCUUCCGACGGCUCGAGGGAGGGGGAGGCGAUCCCGAAGGGGUGGGUGCUGGGGGCCGCCGCGCCCCCGUCCGGGCUGUGCUUCUGCCCCUAA
rnacentral:lncRNA from 1 species